AUUGAACGCUGGCGGCAGGCCUAACACAUGCAAGUCGAACGGUAACAGGUAGAAGCUUGCUUCUUUGCUGACGAGUGGCGGACGGGUGAGUAAUGUCUGGGAAACUGCCUGAUGGAGGGGGAUAACUACUGGAAACGGUAGCUAAUACCGCAUAACGUCGCAAGACCAAAGAGGGGGACCUUCGGGCCUCUUGCCAUCGGAUGUGCCCAGAUGGGAUUAGCUAGUAGGUGGGGUAACGGCUCACCUAGGCGACGAUCCCUAGCUGGUCUGAGAGGAUGACCAGCCACACUGGAACUGAGACACGGUCCAGACUCCUACGGGAGGCAGCAGUGGGGAAUAUUGCACAAUGGGCGCAAGCCUGAUGCAGCCAUGCCGCGUGUAUGAAGAAGGCUUUCGGGUUGUAAAGUACUUUCAGCGGGGAGGAAGGGAGUAAAGUUAAUACCUUUGCUCAUUGACGUUACCCGCAGAAGAAGCACCGGCUAACUCCGUG
rnacentral:rRNA from 1 species